UGUGGUGCUGUUUCACACAAUGCUGGUUAUCCUUACGUGUGCGAAAGUAUUUAGAUGGGAUGAAUCGAUAAGAGAAAAAAACUUUACAGGUUUUCAGUAAUUUAUACUUAACGUACAAGUAUCGAGGAACAUUCGCAUCUUUUAAGGCAAAAUACACCUGGUUCUACAGAACAACACUCGUUUACAUUGUGUAAGGAAUGUAUUAUCUAGGCACAAAUACACAAAGGGAUUUAAAAUGUUGUUGAGUAGAAAACU
rnacentral:lncRNA from 1 species